GCUAAUCCGACACAAAAACGUUCUGUCAGUUGUGAAAAAAAAGAAAAUUUAGAGGAGUGGAAUAUUGAGAGUUAUUUUAUAUUUAAAAAAGAAUUUUUCGAACAAAACGAGGGUCUGAUCCGGAAGCUAAUUGCUGACCGAGCAUACGACGAUGUGCCUGUCGGGAGUCUACUGUCCCACCCAACACGGAUGACUUAACGGAAGAUUCCAUUAAGUUCUCCAACGCUGCUCCAGCUCCUCAUCUGUUCUGCGACCUACAAAGAAGCCGGGAAGGUGGAAGCUGCUCUGGUUCAGCCGUCACCACAGAAGAUCCCCACUUAAGUCAAAUCCAAUGCAACCGGAACACCCAAACAACCAUAAGCCGCCAACAUAUCAGUUUACAUAGAUGCCAGCCAUGUCUGGGCUUCAUCCUUUUAGCGGUAGCUUGGCGUGUAUCCUCGCUUCAGUGGAAACCAGCAAUCUCAUUUCGUGUAGUGGAUCCAGCUGACUGCCCUUCUGCGAGCUGCUACCACUGUCUAACGAGAUCCGACUCCACGUGGUCGGGCAAAAUGGACAUGCCAUCAACGGAAAAAUUAAAACAAACAUGCCAAGCUAUUUUAACCGCAGCUGUUCGCCGAAGGGUUCAUCGGAAAGAAUUCCAAUAAGGUGCAGUUUUGCUGCAGUUGCGGGCGAUGGCCAGCACGUGGCGAGGAUCAGUCGUAAUUGAGCACCGGCCCAGAUCUGGUGGCAGCAGUCUCUCCACUCCUGAAUAAAGUUUUAAUAAUGUGGAGCACUUGUUCACCCGAGUUUAUCUGUCCGGAUUGGCGGUGCAGGUUAGGAACUUGAGGACAAUUGCGCCGGGGACAAAGUGCAGAAGUAAGUAAGCUAGUGCCAUCUGUUUAAAACGCUGUCCAACAGUUGGACAGUUGAAACUUUUCUCAUUUUCGAACUCGAGGUGGAACUGUAGUUUGCGGUGUUGGUGGCCACUGUUGGCCGUCUAUACAGCACUCGAAAUGAA